UACGGGGGGGUGCGAGCGUUGUCCGGAAUCACUGGGCGUAAAGGGCGCGUAGGUGGUUUGAUAAGGGUGUGGUGAAAGCCCGGGGCUCAACCCCGGGUCUGCCGUGCCGACUGUCAAACUCGAGGGCUGUAGAGGCAGACGGAAUUCCGGGUGUAGCGGUGGAAUGCGUAGAGAUCCGGAGGAAGACCGGUGGCGAAGGCGGCGCUCUGGAACAUUUCUGACGCUGAGGCUCGAAAGCGUGGGGAGCAAACAGGG
rnacentral:rRNA from 1 species